GAUUUUUGUCAAAAUAAGGACUAUAACAUAAAAAUCUGAAACUUUUAAGGUUUGUUUUAAGGUUUGCCGUUGGAGUUGGAGAAAAACAUCCUCACCUCAAAUAUAAAGUUCAACAAACCUCAAACAUAAGGUUUCUCUUGGAAAUACUCUAAGAGGAACGUGUCGCUUUAGUCGAAUUUGUUUGAGUAUGUAUAUAUUCUAAACUCGAUGGCCAAAAGCCCUUUUAAAGUUUCUAUGUGUUAAACUCUCGUUAUUAAAGUUUGUAUGUUAUAAU
rnacentral:lncRNA from 1 species